UGAGUGGUAUUCCAGGUUCAUUCUUUAAAGAUGGCCACCCAAGCCUGGAUGUUUGAGUGUUUAAGUGAUCUUUGGAAAUGUUCCUCAAAUGGUCCUUUGGGGGUUUGGACACAAGCAAGUAACUCUUGGCUUAUGUUCCAUGUUUUUUCUUGUUUCCGUCUUAGUUUGUAACCUCCUACUUGCCUUUGAAUUAAGGUUUCUGUUUGCUUGUUUUUGUUUCUAGCUUCUUGGAAGCUACGGAGUGACUUCCUUAAAGAAUCAUGAAUUCACACCAUGUUGUGCUAACUCUAGCCUCCCUGAUGUUCCUGAUGUGCCUCCCUGUGUCACAGAGCUGUAACAAAGCACUCUGUGCCAGCGAUGUGAGCAAGUGCCUCAUUCAGGAGCUGUGCCAGUGCCGGCCUGGGGAAGGAAACUGCCCCUGCUGUAAGGAGUGCAUGCUGUGCCUCGGGGCCCUGUGGGAUGAGUGUUGCGAUUGUGUCGGUAAGUCCACAGGCCAGUGUGGCUUCCUGCCUAUCUCUUUAAAUCACAGAAUCCUUGACUUUAAGUGAUGAGUCAGGGUGGAGACACACAGACACGCACACGUACUCACUCACACACGCACACACGCACACAUGCACACACGCACUGUUGUUGCGGGCACCAACCUUCCAUUAGGAUUCCUUCAGACCUUUGCAGUCCUGUGGCUGCCCUUCCUUUCAGGUUGAAACUCCCCACUUUUCACAGGCAGGGUACAUCCUCUGAGAAAACUCCAGGUAGGAGACAGGUGUUUCUUCCGCCGCAGUUGCAUGUGCCUUCAUACACUUUGUCUAGCAGGC
rnacentral:lncRNA from 1 species